ACUACUCCAGCAAAACCAGGCCAGCCUGUCUCUCCCUGAGAAAGUCUCAGCAAGGAGAGGACCUGGAAGAAAAGAGGAUCAGGCUGAGCAAGGAGGACGUUGCCAAAGAAAUGCUAUCAGAAAGACAGGAUGAAAGCACACUAACAUGGCUGUGAGGAAGAGCUCCAGGCAUGGACCCUUUAAUCCCCUCAUUUUAUAUUUGGUCACCACAAUGAUUCAUUCUUUGCUGUGAAUCACAGAUAACACUCCUACCCAGGUUGGAGAGAAGAUGGGAUUUUCCAUGACCAAAACCACGUUGUUGAUGCCUAUGUUCUGAUAUCCGGUAGAAGCAAGUGGAAAAGAUAGGAAAGCGAAAAGCAUUGCUUUUCAUGCACAGUGACCAUAUAUAGUGCUGCCUUUAGGAAAUCUGUAAAGAUACUUUGCUUUCUUCAAGCUUUUCAUGAUUUCAUCAUUCAUGUUUUAAUUUACUUGCCUUCAUCUUAUUUUGUGUUUUCUCCUUUGCCUUUUGUGUGUGUUAUUUUAAAUCAUUAUAAACUAUCUUAUGUGUUCUUUCUGAAUACAAAAGCAGCAUGUAAAUCAAAUACAUUAAUAAACUAAUAUUAACA